rnacentral:rRNA from 1 species
UACGUAGGGUGCAAGCGUUGUCCGGAAUUAUUGGGCGUAAAGAGCUCGUAGGCGGUCUGUCGCGUCUGCUGUGAAAAUCCAGGGCUCAACCCUGGACCUGCAGUGGGUACGGGCAGACUAGAGUGCGGUAGGGGAGAUCGGAAUUCCUGGUGUAGCGGUGAAAUGCGCAGAUAUCAGGAGGAACACCGGUGGCGAAGGCGGAUCUCUGGGCCGUAACUGACGCUGAGACGCGAAAGCGUGGGGAGCAAACAGG